CAGCCGUAAACUAUGCGCGUUAGGUGUACUGGUGACCACGAGUCACCGGGUGCCGAAGGGAAACCGUGAAACGUGCCGCCUGAGAAGUACGGUCGCAAGGCUGAAACUUAAAGGAAUUGGCGGGGGAGCACCACAACAGGUGGAGCCUGCGGUUUAAUUGGAUUCAACGCCGGACAUCUCACCGGAUAAGACAGCUGAAUGAUUGUCAAUCUGAAGGUUUUACAUGACUAGCUGAGAGGAGGUGCAUGGCGUCAGUGACU
rnacentral:rRNA from 1 species